UGAGUAACUCGUAUAUCCAUCCGUCCACUCGUGGGCGGGUAUUAGUAAGGAUGAUGGCUGUCAAAAAAUUUAUGGAUAAAUUUUAUCCGUGCCAAAUAACCCGCAUGUACAAUGACCUGCCCGCAGGUUGCUCAAUCCGUUCGUUUGCUAGGUCUAUCAAAUUUUAAUUUAGUAUAAUUUCUUAUUCAAACUUUUUAGAUUGUUACAAUUAAAUCCCGCUGUCUAAUUAAUUUGAUUGAAUUGCUAACGUGUCACUGACGUGACAGUUAUGUAACAUUUUUGUGAUUAAUGAUAUGACAUGUCGCACAACUGCUGUAUUUGUAACAUAC
rnacentral:lncRNA from 1 species